UACGUAGGGUGCGAGCGUUGUCCGGAAUUAUUGGGCGUAAAGGGCUCGUAGGCGGUUUGUCGCGUCGGGAGUGAAAACACCGGGCUUAACUCGGUGCUGGCUUUCGAUACGGGCAGACUAGAGGUAUUCAGGGGAGAACGGAAUUCCUGGUGUAGCGGUGAAAUGCGCAGAUAUUAGGAGGAACACCGGUGGCGAAGGCGGUUCUCUGGGAAUGUCCUGACGCUGAGGAGCGAAAGUGUGGGGAGCGAACAGG
rnacentral:rRNA from 1 species